rnacentral:rRNA from 1 species
ACUUGACGCCAAACUUCCUUGUCAAGCCUGAUCUUGUCUGAUCUCUGAAGCUAAGCAGGGCCUGGUCUGGUUAGGACUUGGAUGGGAGACUGUUGUGAAUACCAGGGGCCACAGUG